rnacentral:rRNA from 1 species
UGACAGUACUCCUACGGGGAGGCAGCAGUGGGGGAAUAUUGUACAAUGGGCGCAAGCCUGAUGCAGCCAUGCCGCGUGUGUGAAGAAGGACCUUCGGGUUGUAAAGCACUUUCAGUCGUGAGGAAGGUAGUGUAGUUAAUAGCUGCAUUAUUUGACGUUAGCGACAGAAGAAGCACCGGCUAACUCCGUGCCAGCAGCCGCGGUAAUACGGAGGGUGCGAGCGUUAAUCGGAAUUACUGGGCGUAAAGCGCAUGCAGGUGGUUUGUUAAGUCAGAUGUGAAAGCCCGGGGCUCAACCUCGGAAUAGCAUUUGAAACUGGCAGACUAGAGUACUGUAGAGGGGGGUAGGAAUUUCAGGUGUAGCGGUGAAAUGCGUAGAGAUCUGAAGGAAUACCGGUGGCGAAGGCGGCCCCCUGGACAGAUACUGACACUCAGAUGCGAAAGCGUGGGGAGCAAACAGGAUUAGAUACCCUGGUAG